rnacentral:rRNA from 1 species
GAAGAUGCAGUGUACCCGCGGCAAGACGGAAAGACCCCGUGAACCUUUACUAUAGCUUGACACUGAACAUUGAGCCUUGAUGUGUAGGAUAGGUGGGAGGCUUUGAAGUGUGGACGCCAGUCUGCAUGGAGCCGACCUUGAAAUACCACCCUUUAAUGUUUGAUGUUCUAACGUUGACCCGUAAUCCGGGUUGCGGACAGUGUCUGGUGGGUAGUUUGACUGGGGCGGUCUCCUCCUAAAGAGUAACGGAGGAGCACGAAGGUUGGCUAAUCCUGGUCGGACAUCAGGAGGUUAGUGCAAUGGCAUAAGCCAGCUUGACUGCGAGCGUGACGGCGCGAGCAGGUGCGAAAGCAGGUCAUAGUGAUCCGGUGGUUCUGAAUGGAAGGGCCAUCGCUCAACGGAUAAAAGGUACUCCGGGGAUAACAGGCUGAUACCGCCCAAGAGUUCAUAUCGACGGCGGUGUUUGGCACCUCGAUGUCGGCUCAUCACAUCCUGGGGCUGAAGUAGGUCCCAAGGGUAUGGCUGUUCGCCAUUUAAAGUGGUACGCGAGCUGGGUUUAGAACGUCGUGAGACAGUUCGGUCCCUAUCUGCCGUGGGCGCUGGAGAAUUGAGGGGGGCUGCUCCUAGUACGAGAGGACCGGAGUGGACGCAUCACUGGUGUUCGGGUUGUCAUGCCAAUGGCACUGCCCGGUAGCUAAAUGCGGAAGAGAUAAGUGCUGAAAGCAUCUAAGCACGAAACUUGCCCCGAGAUGAGUUCUCCCUGACUCCUUGAGAGUCCUGAAGGAACGUUGAAGACGACGACGUUGAUAGGCCGGGUGUGUAAGCGCAGCGAUGCGUUGAGCUAACCGGUACUAAUGAACCGUGAGGCUUAACCUU